GAUGAAGAACGUAGCGAAAUGCGAUAAGUAGUGUGAAUUGCAGAAUUCAGUGAACCAUCGAAUCUUUGAACGCACAUUGCGCCCUUUGGUAUUCCAAAGGGCAUGCCUGUUCGAGCGUCAUUUGUACCCUCAAGCUUUGCUUGGUGUUGGGCGUCUUGUCUCUAGCUUUGCUGGAGACUCGCCUUAAAGUAAUUGGCAGCCGGCCUACUGGUUUCGGAGCGCAGCACAAGUCGCACUCUCUAUCAGCAAAGGUCUAGCAUCCAUUAAGCCUUUUUUUCAACUUUUGACCUCGGAUCAGGUAGGGAUACCCGCUGAACUUAAGCAUAUCAAUAAGCGGAGGA
rnacentral:misc_RNA from 1 species